GACGAACGCUGGCGGCGUGCUUAACACAUGCAAGUCGAACGAUGAUCUCCCGCUUGCGGGGGUGAUUAGUGGCGAACGGGUGAGUAAUACGUGAGUAACCUGCCCUUGACUCUGGGAUAAGCCUGGGAAACCGGGUCUAAUACUUGAUACUACUUCCUGCCGCAUGGUGGGGGGUGGAAAGGGUUUUACUGGUUUUGGAUGGGCUCACGGCCUAUCAGCUUGUUGGUGGAGUAAUGGCUCACCAAGGCGACGACGGGUAGCCGGCCUGAGAGAGUGACCGGCCACACUGGGACUGAGACACGGCCCAGACUCCGACGGGAGGCAGCAGUGGGGAAUAUUGCACAAUGGGAGGCAGCCUGAUGCAGCGACGCCGCGUGAGGGAUGACGGCCUUCGGGUUGUAAAACUAUUUCAGCAGGGAAGAAGCCACAAGUGACGGUACCUGCAGAAGAAGCGACGGCUAACUACGUG
rnacentral:rRNA from 1 species